AUUGAACGCUGGCGGAAUGCUUUACACAUGCAAGUCGAACGGCAGCACGGGGGCAACCCUGGUGGCGAGUGGCGAACGGGUGAGUAAUGUAUCGGAACGUGCCCAGUCGUGGGGGAUAACGUAGUGAAAAUUACGCUAAUACCGCAUACGAUCUAUGGAUGAAAGCGGGGGAUCGCAAGACCUCGCGCGAUUGGAGCGGCCGAUAUCAGAUUAGGUAGUUGGUGGGGUAAAGGCCCACCAAGCCAACGAUCUGUAGCUGGUCUGAGAGGACGACCAGCCACACUGGAACUGAGACACGGUCCAGACUCCUACGGGAAGCAGCAGUGGGGAAUUUUGGACAAUGGGCGAAAGCCUGAUCCAGCCAUUCCGCGUGCAGGAUGAAGGCCCUCGGGUUGUAAACUGCUUUUGUACAGAACGAAAAGGUUUCUACUAAUACUAGGAGCUCAUGACGGUACUGUAAGAAUAAGCACCGGCUAACUACGUGCCAGCAGCCGCGGUAA
rnacentral:rRNA from 1 species